AAAAAAAAAGAAGAAGAAGAAAAAGAAAAAAAGAAAAAAAAGAAAAAGAAUUAUUUCAGGUUAAGCUGUGGCCAAAUGUAUCAUUCUGUGGUACGUCUGGAUGUGCAAAAUCAAAAGGAGAGUUAGAAACAGUUUGAAUUGUAGUUUUUAUUGAAAUUGGAACUUGAAAAGAUAAUGCUGGGAUUUUAGUAUGUUUAUAUAUUUUGAUUGUCCAAUAUAGAUCUACAAUGAACAUUUUAGGUUAAUAGAAAAAGCAUGAGGAAUAAUAACUAUGUGGGACUGUAAUUACAAUUGUUUAGUGUUGUAAGUGGAAGUCAUUUUCAAAAAGAGAACACACUAAGUACUACUGUGGCAGCCACACUUAUAGCAGCAGAAGUAUAAAGUAAUAAUUGUGUACUGUAAUGUUAUAUCUAUGGAGAGAAAUGGGAGGGGCCUGAUUUUUUGCUAGAAGCAGCUUGUGCAUAGUUUUACCAGCACCAAGUAGAAGUCAAAAGACAUGUUAGCAUCCUGGUUCUGCCACUUACUAGGUAUGGGACCUUGGGAAAAAUUAUUUGUCAUUGACCUUGUUCAUAAAAAUGGUACUAAGGUAUGUGUAAUAAACAAAAGUAGUAGGAAAUGUAAAAGCAUAUGUAAUCUGGAAAAUAUGUUGACACAUUUGAGACAAAAUGAUCAUAGCAGUAUUCAGUAUUCUGUGACUUAGUAAAUCUCGAGGAAAAUUUUUGUAAACCUGAAGGAUGAUAAAAUGGCAGUAGCAUCAAGAAAAGAAUGGAAAAGUAGGAAAUGGCACGUGGAUUUUAAAUUUGGGGUAGGGGUGUGUUCAGUUUCAGCAGGCUACGAAUGAAUAUGUCCUGUAGGAACACAGGGUUUGGCACAUGAGACUUUGUGAUGAAAUUUUAAGUGAUUUGACCUAGAAUUUAUUUUGGUUAUAGAUCAUAAACUCUGCUAGUCAGUGAGACGCUGAAUAUACAAGAUGAGAUCUUAUGCUAUAGCAGUAAGAACAGAAAAAGAGCAAAUACUUCUCACUAUAAAUGCUUUCCAUAAAGAAAACAGAAAAUGUUAGAAGAUAACAAGAAAGUUUGUAGUUAGGAUGUGAAUGGGAGUAGGACUGGAAAUCUGUGGUCAGAGAACAGCCCUCUGAGUAUCAGAUUUAAGCUGCCAACUAGAGGAGGAGAAACAGCCAGCCAUGUGAAAGUCUAAGAGGUGGAAAUUCUGAAUGGAGAGAACAAAAGAUCCUAUCCAUCAGUUUGCUCUUAACUCCCUGGAAUGGGCAGAAAGCCAUCAUCAAAAUUAUUUUUUAUAAUUACACUAUGUACAGCAAAUGUGAAAUAGAAUCCUGGCACAUUUUAGAUACUUCCUAAAUAAAUGUUUUUUUUUCUUCCUUUUAAAGAAAGCUUGCUACACUUUUGAAGUUUGUUCUUUCUCUCUCUCUCUCUCUUUUUCUUUUCUUUCUUUCUCAUCCUUUCCUUUUCUCUUUUCUUUCUUGACAGGGUCUCACUUUGUUGCCUAUGCUAAAGUGCAGUAGCGCAAUUUCAGCUCACUGCAGCCUUGACUUUACAGGGUAAUGUAAUCCUUCCAUUUCAGUCUUCUGAGUAUCUGGGAUUACAGGCAUGGACCACCAUGCAAAGCUAAUUUAUGUGUCUUUUGUACAGAUGGGGUUUGACCAUUUUUCCCAGGCUGGUUUUAAACUCCAGGGCUCAAGCAAUACAACCACCUUGGCCUCUCAAAGUCUUAAGAUUAAAGGUGUGGUUCACUGCCCCUGGCCUGACGGAUGCCUCGAAUCACCAUGACACGUGUAUACCUAGUAUGUCCCUGAGAAAGUUUUGGAGCCUUUACCUAGACCUUCCAAUGGAAAAAAAACACAGAGUAUAGUCCAUGUAAAAGGAGAAGGCAAUAAAAGAAGAUGCCAAAAAGAAUCCUCAACAUUAAUUGUUUUCAGAGCCAGGCAUGGGGACUCAGCUUGAUAUUAACACUGCAUGAAUGUUUGGUUGGCCCUGUCACAUCUACAUAUAAUCGAUGACGUGUCCCCUCUCCUUUGUAAGGCCUCCUGAAUAACAUCCUUCCUUGGAGGUAAUUAUAUAUAUUUAUUUUUAGUUACUUUGUAUUGCAUAAAAUAUAUAUGAUUUAUUAUUUUCUUUUAAAACUCAAGUCAGCCUACCACUGAAGAUCAUGUUGUGACAGAAGCAGUACAAAGAAAGAAUGUACAGACAUUGAGAGCAGGUACAUUUUCAAUACAAAUGGAAUGCUGGAAAUAAGUAUAUUAAAUGAUUGGAAGUACUCAAAUUUUUCUUACCCCUAAUUCUUUUCAUUCUAAAUUGAAUGGAAGGCAUUGACAUAAAUGUUAUUGUUGGUAUUCAUGUUUCAAUAAAAUUAAAUUUAGAAGUAUAAGAAAACAAGAUUUUAAAAAUAUGAGUUUUAACUCAGAUGCUUCUAUUUUAAUAUUUUGAAUAGCAUAACGUUUCCAAUAAGGAAUUUUUAUACUUGUCGGAUUCAAAGCAGUGAAUUUUGAGGUUCUAAGAUAUUUCCAGUAUCUUAUGUGCUAUAGUUGGAGUUCUGAUACUUACCUAAAGGAAUGCUUUAUUUAGAUAUUAGUUUCUGUAUUAAUGUUAGAGGCUUCCUGUUAAUGUUAUUACACCGAUGCUGUGAAACCAAUGAGAUGGUCUAAUGAGCAGACUGUGUGCAUGUGUGCGUAUGGCUAUGUAUAUGGGUGUGUUUGUGGCAUCUUUGAUUAUUAAAAACUAGGAAAGUAAUUCAUUCAUAACUGACAGUCUUAAAAUGGUGGUUUUGAGACUUUUUGGUAUAAACGUUUUUUAAAAAAAUAAUUGCAUUGAGGCUACCAAUAUCACUGGCUGUUUUCCAUUUCAAUAUCCUUUUGAAAUCCUUAACUAUAUUGUGAUUCUCAGAAAUAAUAUGCAGAAGUUUUAUUUGUGUCCUAAAAUGGAAUGUAAGUGGUUCUACACUUUACAUAUCAUUCUGCCACUUUCUUUUGGGUACUUUGUAUUAUAUUUUCGAGAUGUAUCCACACUGAUGUGAUUCGCUCUGGUUUAAUUCAUUUUAUACUUGUCAUUGCGUUCCCUUAUGCCACUCUACCACAUUGAAUUAGACUCUACUGUUGCUGAUAAAUGAAGAAAGAAAAAAAACAGAAAAGGAAAAAUAGGUAGGUGCGGUGGCUCACACC